rnacentral:lncRNA from 1 species
AUUUCACUUACUGUAUUGAACUGCUAGUAGGCGUCAUUCGAUACCAAAGCCGAUUGAAGCCUCAAUGAACUGAAAAUAUAAAUAAAACAAGCAAAGAAGAAGAAUCAGUUUACACUACUGAACUUUUUUUUUAUAAAUAGUUUACACUACUGAACUUAACCAAUAAAGAAAAACGACAGCCUCCAAGAAGCCUUGCAUACUGUUCUCAAAAGUAGAUCAUAUGAUGAAACUGGUAACUUGAAAAGUUCCCAGUUCAAAAAUUCAACCAUAAAUGAAAGCCUUUUACAAGAACAAUAUUUCAAACAAAGUUUUCAACGGACUGGACAAUAGCAUCUGUAAUGUCUCAUCGGACUGGACCAAAAUUGCAUCAAAUACAUACGUAGCCAUCUCUGAAGAACCUUAGACAACAGUUCAACAGCAACGAUGGAUGUUCAAUUGACCAGACUCGCUAACAGAAAAUACCUAGGGCAAUGCUUAGCUCCCGGAUACAAAGCAGUGACCUGAAAACCAAACUCACCGGAGUUGGCUCGUGGAGGCUACAGUAGCUGAUUCUGGCGUCUGAGUGAAGCUGCUCGGCGGAGCUACCGAGGCCGGCGAAUGAAAUUUGCGCUCAGGCGAGAGAGUCCGAAGCUGAAUCCGGGUAGUCGUGAAUACGACGAGUUGAAAUCUCAAUUGGGAGGUGAAUUCAAAAUCAAAAUUCACGGCCGCCUGAAGAGUUAAUGGUGUCGCCGUCGUAAUUGGGUUUAGGCUUGUUUCUUGCUUGAGCGGUGGUGGUUCGACG